rnacentral:rRNA from 1 species
ACGAACGCUGGCGGCAGGCCUAACACCUGCAAGUCGCGCGCACCCUUCGGGGUGAGCGGCGGACGGGUGAGUAACGCGUGGGAACGUGCCCUUCUCUGCGGAAUAGCCUCGGGAAACUGAGAGUAAUACCGCAUACGCCCUUUGGGGGAAAGAUUUAUCGGAGAAGGAUCGGCCCGCGUUGGAUUAGGUAGUUGGUGGGGUAAUGGCCCACCAAGCCGACGAUCCAUAGCUGGUUUGAGAGGAUGAUCAGCCACACUGGGACUGAGACACGGCCCAGACUCCUACGGGAGGCAGCAGUGGGGAAUCUUAGACAAUGGGGGCAACCCUGAUCUAGCCAUGCCGCGUGAGUGAUGAAGGCCUUAGGGUUGUAAAGCUCUUUCAGCUGGGAAGAUAAUGACGGUACCAGCAGAAGAAGCCCCGGCUAACUCCGUG